rnacentral:misc_RNA from 1 species
GUGAAUCAUCAAAUCUUUGAACGCAAUUUGCACUCUCUGGUAUUCCGGGGAGUAUGCCUGUUUGAGGGUCAUUUUAGAUAAAAAUCGAUGUGGGGGCUGCCUUUCGUGGUAACGCACCGGAUUUUAUUCGUCUUGCCGUCGUUUAAUAGACCUAAAAUUUUGCAUGAUUUUUUUCAAACGUAUUUAAAUUAUUUUACGGACGUUGGCGAUAGCGAAUACUA